CAUUCACCAAAGCUAAUGCAAACACCCAAAUCAAAGAAAGAACCCUAAUCAUACACAACGCCCAAUUCGUUUCUCUCUCUAAUCUCGAUGUUCUCUCUCGCUAGACCUUUUUUUAAACGAUCGGUCUCUACUGUGAGAGUUCCGUCGGCCCUCCCCUUCUCGCUCUCACAAUGGUCUCGCAACUCUCGUUAUCUGAAGAUCCAUGAAGCAGCUUUGAUCACAUGGAACCAUAUUGCUUUGCCACAGUUAUGUAAUGACCUCCAAGUUAAGCUACGACUCCCUUUGAUUAACAUUCAGUUUCAUGGUGCCUACCUACUAGAAUGCGGAAUGCACUGUACUUAUAGUGAUAAUCUCUUCUCUGAAGAAUAUUUUAUGUCAGAAGCUAUCUAAGUGAAUGGUAUUCUUACUUUACAA